UGCAUCGAUGAAGAACGCAGCCAGUUGCGAUAAGUAGUGUGAAUUGCAGAAUUCAGUGAAUCAUCGAAUCUUUGAACGCAAAUUGCGCUUUCUGGGUAUCCAGGGAGCAUGCCUGUCUGAGCGUCGUUUAAUAAUCUACACACUCUUGUGUGGGCAGGGAGUUCAUUUAACUCAGCAAUGAGUUGACCGUCUCUUGAUGUUUCUGAACCUGGCAGUGUACUUCUGUGUACUACUUGGAAGGCUCAACUUGCUACUGUCCUUUUAAAGUGUGUACUAAAGUUGUACUAAACUAAGUUCUUCGAAGAUUUUUACGAAUUUUCAAAACCUGAUUUUUGACCUCAGAUCAGACAAGACUACCCGCUGAAUUUAAGCAUAUCAAUAAGCGGAGGA
rnacentral:rRNA from 1 species